rnacentral:rRNA from 1 species
UACGAAGGGGGCUAGCGUUGCUCGGAAUCACCGGGCGUAAAGCGCACGUAGGCGGCUUUCUAAGUCAGGGGUGAAAUCCUGGAGCUCAACUCCAGAACUGCCUUUGAUACUGGAGAGCUUGAGUCCGGAAGAGGUGAGUGGAACUCCGAGUGUAGAGGUGAAAUUCGUAGAUAUUCGCAAGAACACCAGUGGCGAAGGCGGCUCACUGGCCCGGUACUGACGCUGAGGUGCGAAAGCGUGGGGAGCAAACAGG